rnacentral:tRNA from 1 species
GCUCGUGUAGCUCAGUGGUAGAGCACUCCCUUGGUAAGGGAGAGGUCGGCGGUUCAAUCCCGCCCACGAGCUCCA